UACGUAGGGGGCUAGCGUUGUCCGGAAUCAUUGGGCGUAAAGCGCGCGUAGGCGGCCAGAUAAGUCCGGUGUGAAAGUCACAGGCUCAACCUGUGAAUGCCGCUGGAAACUGUCUGGCUAGAGUCCGGAAGAGGCGAGUGGAAUUCCCGGUGUAGCGGUGAAAUGCGCAGAUAUCGGGAGGAACACCAGUAGCGAAGGCGGCUCGCUGGGCCAUUCCUGACGCUGAGACGCGAAAAGCUAGGGGGAGCGAACAGG
rnacentral:rRNA from 1 species